UAAGCCUGUGGGUCAGGAGUGCUG
rnacentral:piRNA from 1 species